rnacentral:lncRNA from 1 species
GAGGGCUGUCGUUAUGUGAUUUAUGGUCUUCAUUUGGCACCAUCUGCGUCUGAGAGGGAAGCUGUGAGUCUGCACCUAGCUGUGCUCCGAGAUGAUUGCCAAGAUGUCUCCAGUGUUACAUGUAACUCUUCCCUCAACGCAUAAACUCUUCUGCUAGCCUGGGCUCAUGGGACAAGAGCUCUCCUAAUGCCCGGCCCUAUCAGAACUACAAUAUUGCCUGUGGCUGGCCUCAGGAUCCUGCCAACUCCUGCUGUUUACACACACCAAUCAGGCCAGAAUAACCCAAGGUGGGCACAACAGGGGAUGACAGGAAUAGGACGGAAGGAAAGUGUGCCCACCACCCCCUAAAGGAGGCCAAACCAAACUUCUCUAGGCUGUGGGGGCAGGAAGUGGCUGAGAAGAAAUUCCCUGACGGCUUGGGCUGUGUAAACAUUGCGGGUUGAGAGUGUGUGUGUGUAUGUGUGUGUACGUGCCUUAGAGAUAAAGAGCGACUUCACUAACUUAUAAAAAUAACUGAGUGUAACAGAAGUAGACGAAUAGCAACAGAUCCAGGCAAGGAAGGGAGACGCUGUCAGGAGUUCGGUGAUGGAGGCCUCCUGACCCAGAAUACCUCUACUCUGGCCACUUUUGCCAGCUCCGUCCAGAGAAGCCAAGCUGGCACUGGUUAGGCAGAGGUGAUUCGCCACUUUGCCUAUAGCUUGUAGCCUGCUUAGCACUCUGAAGCCACUUGGUUUUAGGACAGCCUGGGCUAUAUAACAAAACUCAAUCAUAAGAACGCAGGUACCCGCCUGUCUCACUCUCAGUAUUGGGGACAUGCCUCCAUUUCUGGUCUCAUUGUGUUGGACCCUGGAGAUCAAAUCCUUAUAUGGGUAUGGCUUUAUCAACUGAGCUAGCUCUCCAGCCCUAAUUAGUAUUUUUAAUUAAAAAAAUUGCUUUGUUUUAUGUGUUUGAGCAUUUUACCUGCAUGUAUAUAUGUGUACCACAGGUCAUAUGAUGGCAGUCAUAUGAUGAAGGCAUUAACCCCCUGGGACCAUAGUUACAAAGGUAGUUACAAACAAAGCAAAAGUUUUCUUUGUUUUGUGAGCUACUAUGUGGGUGCUGGGUCCAAGACCAGGUCCUCUGAAAGAGCAACAAGCACUCUUAACCGCUCUCCACCCUCCGUUAGUAUUUAAAUACUCGCUGGCCAUUUAUAAAGAGCCAGAAACAGUCUUUAAAAAUGCUUCAGUUCCACUGCGAUCGUCCCACCUGAAUUUUAGUGUCUAUAUUUCACGUGAGUGUGAUCAAAGUGAUGAGGCCCGAUCCUGCUGAAAGGCACCAGUGUGACCGAGGAUGGAAUUGGCAGUGUGAUGUCCAACUCGGGAGACCUUGAGCAGGUGUGGGAGCGCGGAGGAGAAAGGUGAUGGGGGAGCUGUGUCAGCUCUGAAGAGCACUUGUUGUUCUUCCAGAGGACUUGAGUUCAGUUCCCAGCACCCAUGUCAGGCAGUUCACAACCGGCUGUGACUCCAGCUCUAGUGGAUCCAAACGGUCUAUUCUGUCUGCGGGAACCUUAACUCACAUUUGCGUACUCACAUGCAAAUACAUACACCUACCCACCAUUAAAAAUAAUACUAAAAGUAAAUCU